GGAAGUGCCGGCCUGGAGCCCGCUCUAGGUGGGUAUCCCCUCCGCGCUUCCCAGCUGCCGUUUGCACCAGCCAUGGACUGCUACACGGCGAACUGGAACCCACUCGGGGACUCUGCUUUUUACCGGAAAUAUGAGCUGUACAGCAUGGACUGGGACCUGAAGGAGGAACUCAGAGAUUGCCUGGUGGCUGCUGCACCCUAUGGGGGCCCCAUUGCACUGCUGAGGAACCCCUGGCGGAAGGAGAAAGCUGCCAGUGUGAGGCCAGUGCUCGAUAUAUACUCUGCUUCCGGCAUGCCCCUGGCCAGCCUGCUGUGGAAGAGUGGACCCGUGGUGUCCCUGGGCUGGUCAGCUGAGGAGGAGCUGCUCUGUGUGCAGGAAGAUGGUGCGGUACUGGUUUAUGGGCUUCAUGGUGACUUCCGGAGACACUUCAGCAUGGGCAAUGAAGUGCUCCAGAACCGGGUUCUGGAUGCCCGGAUCUUUCACACUGAGUUUGGUUCUGGAGUGGCCAUCCUCACAGGGGCCCACCGCUUCACCCUCAGUGCCAAUGUGGGUGACCUCAAACUCCGCCGGAUGCCAGAGGUGCCAGGUCUGCAAAGUGCACCCUCCUGCUGGACUACGCUGUGCCAGGACCGAGUGGCACACAUUCUUCUGGCUGUGGGGCCCGAUCUUUAUCUCUUGGACCAUGCAGCCUGCUCCUCAGUGACGCCCCCUGGCCUGGCCCCAGGAGUAAGCAGCUUCCUACAGAUGGCUGUCUCCUUCACCUACCGACACCUGGCACUCUUCACAGACACAGGCUACAUCUGGAUGGGAACAGCAUCACUCAAGGAGAAGCUAUGUGAGUUCAACUGCAACAUCCGGGCACCUCCAAAGCAGAUGGUCUGGUGCAGCCGUCCUCGUAGCAAGGAGAGGGCCGUGGUGGUGGCCUGGGAAAGGCGGCUGAUGGUGGUGGGUGAUGCACCCGAGAGCAUCCAGUUUGUGCUGGACGAGGACUCCUACCUGGUGCCUGAGCUUGAUGGGGUCCGCAUCUUCUCCCGCAGCACCCACGAGUUCCUGCAUGAGGUUCCAGCGGCCAGCGAGGAGAUCUUCAAAAUUGCCUCAAUGGCCCCCGGGGCGCUGCUCCUGGAGGCUCAGAAGGAGUAUGAGAAAGAGAGCCAGAAGGCGGACGAGUACCUGCGGGAGAUCCAGGAGCUGGGCCAGCUGACCCAGGCUGUGCAGCAGUGCAUUGAGGCCGCAGGACAUGAGCACCAGCCAGACAUGCAGAAGAGUCUGCUCAGGGCUGCCUCCUUCGGAAAGUGUUUCCUGGACAGAUUUCCACCCGACAGCUUCGUGCACAUGUGUCAGGACCUGCGUGUGCUCAAUGCUGUUCGGGACUAUCACAUUGGGAUCCCGCUCACCUAUAGCCAAUACAAGCAGCUCACCAUCCAGGUGCUACUGGACAGGCUUGUGUUGCGGAGACUUUACCCCCUGGCCAUCCAGAUAUGCGAGUACUUGCGCCUUCCUGAAGUACAGGGCGUCAGCAGGAUCCUGGCCCACUGGGCCUGCUACAAGGUUCAACAGAAGGAUGUCUCAGAUGAGGAUGUGGCUCGAGCCAUUAACCAGAAGCUGGGGGACACGCCUGGUGUCUCUUACUCCGACAUUGCUGCACGAGCCUAUGGCUGUGGCCGCACAGAGCUGGCCAUCAAGCUGCUGGAGUAUGAGCCACGCUCAGGGGAGCAGGUACCCCUUCUCCUAAAGAUGAAGAGGAGCAAACUGGCACUAAGCAAGGCCAUUGAGAGCGGGGACACUGAUCUGGUUUUCACGGUGUUGCUGCACCUGAAGAAUGAGCUAAACCGAGGAGAUUUUUUCAUGACCCUUCGAAAUCAGCCCAUGGCCCUGAGUUUGUACCGACAGUUCUGUAAGCAUCAGGAGCUAGAGACGCUGAAGGACCUUUACAAUCAGGAUGACAAUCACCAGGAAUUGGGCAGCUUCCACAUCCGAGCCAGCUAUGCUGCAGAAGAGCGUAUUGAGGGGCGAGUAGCAGCUCUGCAAACAGCCGCCGAUGCUUUCUACAAGGCCAAGAAUGAGUUUGCAGCCAAGGCUACAGAGGAUCAAAUGCGACUCCUACGGCUGCAGCGGCGCCUAGAAGAUGAGCUGGGGGGCGAGUUCCUAGACCUGUCUCUACAUGACACGGUUACCACCCUCAUUCUUGGCGGUCACAACAAGCGUGCAGAGCAGCUGGCACGUGAUUUCCGCAUCCCUGACAAGAGGCUCUGGUGGCUGAAGCUGACUGCCCUGGCAGAUUUGGAAGACUGGGAAGAGCUAGAGAAGUUUUCCAAGAGCAAGAAAUCACCCAUUGGCUACCUGCCUUUUGUGGAGAUCUGCAUGAAACAACACAACAAAUACGAAGCCAAGAAGUAUGCUUCCCGUGUGGGUCCCGAGCAGAAGGUCAAGGCUUUGCUUCUUGUUGGCGAUGUGGCUCAGGCUGCAGAUGUGGCCAUCGAACACCGGAGUGAGGCUGAGCUGAGCCUCGUAUUAUCCCACUGCACGGGAGCCACAGAUGGGGCCACAGCUGACAAGAUUCAACGGGCCAGGGCACAAGCCCAGAAGAAUGUCUGAGACAUCAACUGGAAGACUAAAAGGUUGACAGCUAGGGGCUGAAAUCAUGUGAAAGCUGGCUAACUCACACGCCUGGAGGCGGAGGUUGCAGUGAGCUGAGAUGGCGCCAUUUCUCUCCAGCCUGGGCGACAAGAGGGAAACUUCGUCUUAGAAAAAAAAGAAAGAAUCAGGGCGAAGGCUCCUACAACUCACCUUCUCAGGGUAAGGGGCUGUAUGUCCUGUCUCUUUUAGAUACAAAGUUUGAGUAAAAGACUGUUAGGGUUGAAUAGUGGCCUGCAAAGGGACUUGGCUCUCAUUUACUUCACCUUUCUAUCUUAUUGCCUUGCUUUAUUUUCAUUUCAGCAUUUAGGAAAUUUUCCUGUUCAUUUGUUUGUCUGUGUGCCUAUCCAGAAUGUAAGCUCCUGAGAGCAGAGGCCUCUUCUGUCCUCUUCUGUCUUAUUCCCUGCUGUGUCCAGCACAUGGUCUGCACUCAAUAAGUAUUUGUUGCAAGAAUGACUCAUUGUUCCAUUUACUAGAAGGGGAAAGGAGGCCCCGAGAGCGGAAGUGACUUGCCUAAAGAAACAGGAGUCCUUUCCCCCCAUCCUCCAGCUCUCCUGGUCCUCUCCUUUGCUCAUAAACCCUGUGACUAUUGGGGUACCUGUGGGGUGGCUGAGAAAUGCCUACCUGUAGGUAUGUGCUCCUAUGGGCUGGGACUAAUGCAGGACUAGGAGGAGGAGGGUUCUGCAGUUCCCCAUUUGGGUAGGGUUGGGCACAGGAAACUGCUUCCCCUCCCUUCCUCAGUUCUCUUCUCUCCCAGGAUAACCCUUUACUCUGUGAUGAUGAUGGGUGAGGGAGCUCAGGACACUCUGGGAGCCAAGUAGGAUGGAGGGCUGGGCAGGUCUCUACAGGCAGGCAGCUGAGGAGGGGGCUCUCUCUUCUUCCAAUGGAAACAGCAUCUGUGUGGUUGCUGAGCUGAACCCUCCUUCCCAGAGGGUCUCCAGGGUCUAAUUCUGUCACCCCUGUGCACACACCACAAAUGCUUUGACCAUAGUGCAGCUGUCUCAUGGGGACAAAGGACUUUCAUUUCCUGAGAAUGGGUUACUUGCCAAGCUGAACAUGCCUAAUUCUCAAUACAGCCCUGGGAAGUUCCAGGAAGAGUUGCAGAGGGAGGCUCAGGUCACCCAGCACAUGGUGGGGCUGGAGACCUUGGCUCUCUGACUACCAAGCCCAACAACAAUUUUCCCAUGUGGUUAUAUCCAAAUGGGGUCCUUCAGAUAGUCUCAAAAAUGAACACUUACUGCAAUCACUAUUUCAAUUAUAUUGAAAAUAUAAGUAGCAUGUCAACCCUUCUAGGGUAACACAAACUACAAGUAAAAAACUAAUCAACAAAAAGAAACAUAUUAAGAAAUAAUAGUGUAAAUUAGAUAUAAGACAAAAGUAAGCCGGUGGAAUUUGGUUCUAGAGCAUAGGGCUGCCAUCCUAGCUACUGGGGUACCUCCUGCGCUUGCAGUCAUUACUUGUUAGGGGUUUUCACACUUUGACUUCCAGCUUUUCACUUUUCCAUUCGGUGUCAGGGGAUAGAUUGAGUUUGGACUUCCGGAGAAAUGUGAAUGCUGGGUGUGGGAAAGGAUCCACCCUCACUGGGGUCUGUUAGGAGACUAGGCGUGUGGACUCUGGGCCUUUGGGCUGGAGUGUCUCUUGGUCAGAGGUGUCUUGGGUUCGGCCAUUUCACCCACACCUCUAGGCUGGUCCUGCUGAGAGGGAGAGAGAGUGUCACAACUUCCACUCAAGGAGAGACUUCCCUGCUGGGGAGGGGAUAGCCUGAGGCCCGUCCCACCCAUAUUGCCAGGCCAUGGCUCUGGUUAGCAUGGACUAAAUUAUUCCACAAUACGGAGGAGUGGGGCACAGAGUCCUAAACAGGCCUGGGUUGCGUGAGGGGGCCUCAGGGGCUGCCCGGUCUGGAGGAGAGACUCACUGCCACCUACCCCGGGAACCGCAGACCCUGGGUCGGGGAUGAAGCGUCCCCUACCCGCAAGCUCGGUUUGCGCGCUGCUGUGCAAAUCUGUCUAUUGCCUGCAGACGCCCAGCCGCUCGCCCUGCGCGCCCAGGGGCCCCUACUGGGGAAACCCGGCGAAAUGUCGGAUUUGCUACCACCUAUCACGACUGCGUAAUCGGCUUUCAGCCGCAGACGCUCAAGUCCUGCAGCAGCCGCGAGGAUCCGCGUAGGAACCUGCUGCCACUGGAUGCACUGAGCGAUUGCUUCGGGGGUGCCACGCGCCAGACGCGGUGCCGGGAGCGCCGGGAAAGGGGUACGCGCCCCAACCCCGGCCUGGGGAGGGCGCACUCUGGCUCCUCUCUGUGUUUUGCGCUUCCCCUGCCCCGUCAGGCCUAUCGCAAAAGGCACCCCCAUCGCAGAACACCACGUGUUGUGCUUCUACUCAGCUCGGUGGCGAUUAGGGCCCUAGCAUGCGCAUCUGGAAAGCCGCGGAGAUUACCCUGGAGCUCGGGUGGGGACGGCGUGGGCUGACUUGGUGUAAGAUGACACCCACGGAGCCAGACCCGUUCUAGGGACUUGACAGGUUCCUCUCCCUCCCCAGUGAGAUCCGUCGUUCAACCUGCAGCAAUUAGGGGAGGGAAAAAAAGACCCACAGUAUCACGUUUGGAGAGGAUUAGGAAGAUGGCUCUCGAGUUCCAUGCCGCCCUGGUGGCUAGACAUUGGUGUAGUUUGUCCCUGGCCUCGGUUUCCUCAUCUGUAAACUGGGAAGAAGGCCCAAGUCCUGGGGCCUGUGACUGUAGAGUGGCGGAAGGCACUGGUGCACCCGCGGCCAGUCCUUCCGGGGUCCAGCUUCCUGAAGGAUUGGGCGGCCCCGGGGGGAACCCCUCCCGAGCUAUCUGGAGACCGUGGAACCGGGUUCGGGGCCCCAGCCAGAGAGUGAGCUUCCAGCGGUGCACAAGGGCGGGGCCCGCGCGGGCGGGAGACGCCCGUUCGCUGUCGGCCAACCAGCGCCUGUCUCUGAACAGCCAAUGAACACGCGUUUUACAGCCAAGGCCAGGUCGGGAGCGAGGCUGCGGCGAGUGCGGCGCUGACAGAGACGCGGGCGCGCGCGAUCGCGCUGGGACCCCGGCCGCUGCCGCCAUCACCGCCGCCCGCCCAGUCUCCCCUCAGCCGCUUCCCCUCGCCAUGGAGGCGAGGCCGCCGCCGCCGCCGCGGGGCUCGGAGCCGCGGGCCGGGCGGCGGCCCUGAGGGCGAGUGGCGGCCCGAAACGCCGCCGCGGAGCCGAGGCGGAGCCGCUCUCCUCGUCCCCAGCGGUCCCGCCCAACGCCAGACUCUGUGA